rnacentral:rRNA from 1 species
GGAGGCGAUGAAGGACGUGAUAAGCUGCGAUAAGCUUGGGGUAGGUGCAAAUAACCUUUGAUCCCAAGAUUUCCGAAUGGGGCAACCCGGCUGGUAGAAGGCCAGUCAUUCCGUAAGGAAGGCGAACGUGGGGAACUGAAACAUCUAAGUACCCAUAGGAGAAGAAAACAAAAGUGAUUCCGCAAGUAGUGGCGAGCGAACGCGGAACAGCCCAAACCGAUGAUGUUUAGGCAUUGUCGGGGUAGUAGGACCACGUUGUGGCAAGAGAUUAAGGAAGUAGAACGUUUUGGAACAAACGGCCGUAGACGGUGAAAGCCCAGUAUACGACUCUUUAACGAAGCCUAGUGGAAUCCUGAGUAGCGCGGAGCACGAGAAAUUCUGUGUGAAUCAGCGGGGCCCAUCCCGUAAGGCUAAAUACUCCCGAGAGACCGAUAGCGAACCAGUACUGUGAAGGAAAGGUGAAAAGCACCUCGAACAGAGGAGUGAAAUAGUCCCUGAAACCGUCUGCCUACAAGCGGUCGGAGCAACGUAAGUUGUGACGGCGUGCCUUUUGCAUAAUGAACCUACGAGUUACUUUCUCCGGCAAGGUUAAGGGCUUCAGGCCCGGAGCCGAAGCGAAAGCGAGUCUUAAUAGGGCGUGAUAGUCGGAGUGAGUAGACGCGAAACCAAGUGAUCUACCCUUGGUCAGGAUGAAGGUUGGGUAACACCAACUGGAGGUCCGAAUGGGUAUACGUUGAAAAGUGUUCCAAUGAACUGAGGGUAGGGGUGAAAGGCUAAUCAAACUUGGAGAUAGCUCGUACUCCCCGAAAUGCAUUUAGGUGCAGCCUUUAUUUAGUAUAGCAUGAGGUAGAGCGACUGAUUGGAUGCGAGGGCUUCACCGCCUAUCAAGUCCAGAUAAACUCCGAAUGCGUGCUAUAUAUUGAUAAGGAGUGAGGGCGCGGGUGCUAAGGUCCGCGUCCGAGAGGAGAAGAAUCCAGACCAUCAGCUAAGGUCCCCAAAUAACAGUUAAGUUGAACUAACGAAGUCGGACUGCAGAGACAGCUAGGAUGUUGGCUUGGAAGCAGCCAUUCAUUUAAAGAGUGCGUAACAGCUCACUAGUCGAGGAGUCGGGCGUGGAUAAUACUCGGGCAUAAACUGUUUACCGAAGCUAUGGAUGUAGAAAUACAUGGUAGGGGAGCAUUCCAACGGCGUCGAAGGUGAAGGAUGACCUUUGCUGGAGCUUUUGGAAACGCAAAUGUAGGUAUAAGUAACGAUAAAGGAGGUGAGAAACCUCCUCGCCGAAAGACUAAGGUUUCCUGAUCAACGUUAAUCGGAUCAGGGUAAGUCGGGACCUAAGGUUAAGCCGAACGGCGAUACCGAUGGAAGAAUGGUUUAAUAUUCCCAUACUACUUUAUGGAGCGAUGUGGAGACGGAGAAGUGAAAGUCCUGCCAUCUGACGGAAUAGGUGGUUGAAGAGUGUAGAUGUAGAUUCCUGUAGGCAAAUCCGCAGGGAGAGUCGACCUUGACAGUAUGCCGCGUGCUUGCACAAGGCAAAAUGGACGUAAUCAGGCUCCCAAGAAAAUCCGCUAAGCAUAUUCAUAAAGUACCCGUACCGUAAACGGACACACGUAGUUGGGUUGAAAAUACUGAGGCGCUCGAGUGAUUCACGGUUAAGGAACUAGGCAAAUUGACCCUGUAACUUCGGGAUAAAGGGUCCCUACUGAGAGGUAGGGCGCAGAGAAUAGGUCCAGGCAACUGUUUAACAAAAACACAUGGCUGUGCGAAAUAGAAAUAUGAAGUAUACAGCCUGACACCUGCCCGGUGCUGGAAGGUUAAGAGGAGAGCUCAUCGCAAGAGAAGGCUUGAAUUGAAGCCCCAGUAAACGGCGGCCGUAACUAUAACGGUCCUAAGGUAGCGAAAUUCCUUGUCGGGUAAGUUC